rnacentral:rRNA from 1 species
CUCUUCGAUGUUCUGGGCUGCACGCGCGCUACAGUGGCAAAGACAGAGAGCAUGAAUUAAUUAUAGAGUCGCAUCGAGGGAUGUGACGAAUCAGCAAUCGUUGUCGUGAUUGGGAUUGAGCGUUGUAAUAUUUGCUCAUGAAAGAGGAAUUCCUCGUAAGCGCGAGCCACUAACUCGUGUUAAUUACGUCUCUGCCCUUUGUACACACCGCCCGUCGCUACUACCGAUUGAACUGGUUUUUGAAGUGUAGAGAUUGGCAGGCAUGGUUUACGUGCAUUGCAAAGAACCACUCUGAAAAAAUCGUUCGAGAAGAAGUAAAAGUCGUAACA